rnacentral:misc_RNA from 1 species
AACUGAUACUACCUGCGGGAACCUGCGGAAGGAUCAUUACUGUGGCGCCGGGCGCGAGCCGCCGGAGGGGGAAUCCUUCCUCCCCGGUGCGUCCGCCCCGGCACAACGCCUCCACCCGUGAACACUGAACCUUUUUUUGCUUCGGCGGGCCCGCCACGUCCGCGCGGCCGCCGGGGGUGCGCGGUCGCAGGUGUCAUAACCUGCGCACGCCGCCCCGGGCCCGUGCCCGCCGAAGACCCC